rnacentral:rRNA from 1 species
UACGUAGGGUGCGAGCGUUGUCCGGAAUUAUUGGGCGUAAAGAGCUUGUAGGUGGCUCGUUGCGUCGGGAGUGAAAACCUGCGGCUUAACCGCAGGCCUGCUUCCGAUACGGGCGAGCUAGAGUUCGGCAGGGGAGACUGGAAUUCCUGGUGUAGCGGUGGAAUGCGCAGAUAUCAGGAGGAGCACCGGUGGCGAAGGCGGGUCUCUGGGCCGAUACUGACACUGAGAAGCGAAAGCGUGGGGAGCGAACAGG